UACGUAGGGGGCAAGCGUUGUCCGGAUUUAUUGGGCGUAAAGAGCGUGUAGGCGGCUAAAUAGGUCCGUUGUGAAAACUCGAGGCUCAACCUCGAGAUGCCGAUGGAAACCAUUUGGCUAGAGUCCGGAAGAGGAGAGUGGAAUUCCCGGUGUAGCGGUGAAAUGCGCAGAUAUCGGGAGGAACACCGGUGGCGAAGGCGGAUCUCUGGGACGGUACUGACGCUGAGACGCGAAAGCGUGGGGAGCGAACAGG
rnacentral:rRNA from 1 species